CCUCUACGAUGAAAGCUGAUUUGGAAACUGAACAAGUCGGGGAGGCGCAAGUGUUUUCUAAGAGUCCUCACCAAAAUAACAACCAGCAACUCAGUCAAUUUGCAACUAUAGUUAUGGAUCCUUUUGCUAGCUUGGUCCUAGGUGGUAAGUUUCCUUUUGGUCAAAUACUCGUUGUGCAUGUUAGUGUCAAUUUGGAUGAUGGUCAUAUGCUCGAGACUUAUUAUUGCUGUCAUAUGGGAGCUUGCACAUAUUUCUUCUAUGCGUCUGAAUCAUCAACUGGGACUAGCCCAUUUUGUAGUUUUGUUGACAAUUGGUUCGACACUGGGCAGAAUUUCGAAGGCAAAUUGAUCGACUAUUUGGUGAAGUCUAACAAUUGGUUCGAUACUGGGCAGAAUUCCAAUGGGAAAUAUAGCAAUUAUUUGGUGAAGUCUAAAGAAUCGACUUAUGAAGACCAAUGCAGCUUUUGUGUUGUCGAUUGCUUGAGCAGGGGGUAUCAUAGUCGAAAACAUGAAGGUUUUGACUUAUGCUUGCAGUGCUUCCAAAAUGAUAAGUUCGACCUUGAAACUUGUUGUUUAGAUUUCAUCCUAAUUGAGAGUGCUGAAGUUUUGGAAGAUAUGUUUUUAAAUUCAUUCUCUAUGAAGAACCAGAGUGAUAUAUAUGUUAUUGCAGAAACAUACCUGGUUGAAUUGUUUAGGGAUGAUGAGCAUAGGGAUGAUGCUUGUAAGUUGUUCAAAAAAUUGACAGAGAGGUAUAUAGAUGCAAAUCUCCCUGUUUUUGGCUAAUAAACGAAUCCCUGGCUUUGAGAUUAUUGAGGGUCUAGAUCAUGGUAAUCUGCCCAUGAAAGACAAAAAGCAGCUCUAUAAGAAGCAUGCAUCUACUGCUUUUGGAUUUUACUUGGAGGAUGGGAGCGUGAAUUUGCAGCUUUAUGCUCAUCUCUUCUCAAAGUUUAUUGUUUAUCUCAACUUUUCAGAUCUCCCACUUGAUCCUGGUAUACAUAAUGACCAUAUAAUCAAUGGUAUCAUCAUAAGUAUGUUUAAAAAUAGAAUUUCUUCUCAUGAAUUAGUAGCUACAUUGUGGGGUAAGCAAGUUCCUGACCUUGUGAUGAAAGAUGGAGGUAGAGUUGAAUCUCAAAAUUUUGUUAGAAAGAUGAUGGAUGUUUUAUGUGGAGCUUCUGAAAUAUGUAUUCCUGCUCUUAUUUUGCUGCAUAAUUGCACUCAUUUCCCUCCUGUUAUCUCUAAAUCCAAAGGUGGUUAUGAAAGGGAGGAUCAAGUACAUGAGCAAGCUACAAAUAUCCUCGGUGUUUUAAAUUCCGAGCCUAUGGAUAGGUCUGAAGAGAGAUAUGAUGAGACCAACUUAAAAAUGAAUCUGUUCUUAAGAUCAUCUAUAUACCAUAAGGAUGAGGAUACUCAGCUCCUCUAUAGUUUUAAUUUCAUGGUCUUAAAUACUGCUGAGUUUGUUGUUCUGUGCAUAUCCAAAAGCUUUGGGACAAUGCUGAUUUUAAAGGUGGACCAAAGGUAUAAUCACAUUGUUGAACUGAUACAACAGAGUGCUCAAAAGAUAAGGAGAGUUCUUAUGAUGUAUAAUUUGUUUCAUUUUCCAUUUGAUCCUAGUUCAAAUGUGCUUACUAGCAUCUCUAGUAAUAAAGGAAUGAACUAUGCAGUCAAGUUGUUUAAAAGAGUACCUCACAAAAUUGUUGUUUUCUGGAAAGUGGUGAUCUCUUGCUAUACCGAAGGGUUAUGGUCUCAUGAUGCUGUGAGUGCAUUUUCUGAUUAUUCUGGCUAUAUCCAGACAAAUACAAGUGAGAUUCAAAAGAUUCGGCAAAAUUUGGAAAAGAAAUGGCUUGAGCAUUUGGUGAAGUUUGUAGAUUCAGAUUUCGAGUAUUAUUGUGAUUCCGGGCAUAGUGAUUGUCCAGAAUAUAGCUAUGAUAAUAAAAAACACGGAGACUUUAAUCCGUGUAAUGAGUGUUUCGGCUACAACAAAUUUGAACCUGAGAUGGCUCUUUCGGUCUUCACCAUCUUUGAAGAAAUUAAUUCUGCAGUAGCUGCAAGCAGGAAGGCUUGGCAUAUUAGGGAUAAUAAGUGGCACAAUUGCUGGGUAAAAUCUGAAGAAUCAGCUUCUUGGGACCACUACAAUUCAUGUCUAACUGGUUGCUCACGAGUGGGUUGCCAUAGCCAAACACAUGAAGCUUUUGAUUUGUGUGGUAAAUGCUUCAUCAGUGGCAAAUUUGAAAUUGGCAUGAUUCCUUCAGAUCUCAUCUUUGUUGAACUGGUUGAGGAAGAACUUAUGAAGGGGAUUUUUCUCAAUUUCCAUAUGACCCCGGUGGUAGUCUUUCUUGGGCAUAUUAUUGUCUAAUUGCUUACGACGAUUUUCAUUCCUCAACAGCCACUACACCUUCGUUGAGUUUCAAUAAAGUGCUUGAACUCAUCAUUGCAGAGGAUAGUUAUCUAAGGCAAAAACCAGAUCAUGUGUCACUGGAGUUAUAGUCCCAAAGGAGCAGAGGCUACAAAUAGAAGAAGCUGCUUAUAAUUCUCAAAGAACAGAGACUAUAGAUGAUAGAUAUAUAGCAUUCUUAAGUCUUCUCCUUGUUGGUUCCACGUAUAUUCUUGUGAGUAACAAGUUUCCGUCUGAUCCCAUAGGUAUUAGUGUUCUAUUGGUGGCCUUUCACAUCAAUUCCAAUUCGAUCCUGGUGGCUUCCUCUAUGUAUCAACACCUUGAGGGCAAGGGUGUUAUUCAACAAGGGGUAUAGAUAAACAAAAAUGUAAUGAUUUUCAAAUUUCCAGAUUUUUGAGAUCAUCCUUGAGGUCAAGGAUUAUUUGAAGCAGCAGGGAAUGUAAUGACCUGGAUAUAUUAGCACAGUGAAGAAUAAAGAAGCGACAAAUAGAAUUAUAACACGUGGACGCACGAGAUUAAAUCUGAGUUAAUGAAGGUGAAGGGUUGUGAUUGCACGUGAGAAUCUUAUAAAUAGACACCGAAAAGGCAACAAGAGGAACGAUUAGUUUGGGUAUAGUCAGAGAUGUAAUUUUAUGGAAGAGGAAGAGUUAUAGUGUUGGGGCACUAUUAGCAGCUACAGCGAUAUGGUUGGCACUUGAAGUCUGUGGAUUGACGUUUAUAACGCUGGGUUCUUGGAUCGCCAUGUUCGUG